UGGGGAAUUUUGGACAAUGGGCGCAAGCCUGAUCCAGCCAUGCCGCGUGCGGGAAGAAGGCCUUCGGGUAGUAAACCGCUUUUGUCAGGGAAGAAAUCUUCUGAGUUAAUACCUCGGGAGGAUGACGGUACCUGAAGAAUAAGCACCGGCUAACUACGUGCCAGCAGCCGCGGUAAUACGUAGGGUGCAAGCGUUAAUCGGAAUUACUGGGCGUAAAGCGUGCGCAGGCGGUUUUGUAAGACAGAGGUGAAAUCCCCGGGCUCAACCUGGGAACUGCCUUUGUGACUGCAAGGCUUGAGUGCGGCAGAGGGGGAUGGAAUUCCGCGUGUAGCAGUGAAAUGCGUAGAUAUGCGGAGGAACACCGAUGGCGAAGGCAAUCCCCUGGGCCUGCACUGACGCUCAUGCACGAAAGCGUGGGGAGCAAACAGGAUUAGAUACCCUGGUAGUCCACGCCCUAAACGAUGUCAACUGGUUGUUGGGAAGGUUCCUUCUCAGUAACGUAGCUAACGCGUGAAGUUGACCGCCU
rnacentral:rRNA from 1 species